AAUUUUUGACAAUGGGGGAAACCCUGAUCAAGCCAUCCCGCGUGUAUGAUGAAGGCCUUCGGGUUGUGAAGUACUUUUGGCUGAGAAGAAAAGGUAACUCCUAAUACGAGGUACUGCUGACGGUAUCUGCAGAAUAAUCACCGGCUAACUACGUGCCAGCAGCCGCGGUAAUACGUAGGGUGCAAGAGUUAAUCGGAAUUACUGGGCGUAAAGCGUGUGUAGGCGGUUCGGAAAGAAAGAUGUGAAAUCCCAGAGCUCAACAUUGGAACUGCAUUUUUAACUGCCGAGCUAGAGUAUGUCAGAGGGGGGUAGAAUUCCACGUGUAGCAGUGAAAUGCGUAGAUAUGUGGAGGAAUACCGAUGGCGAAGGCAGCCCCCUGGGAUAAUACUGACGCUCAGACACGAAAGCGUGGGGAGCAAAC
rnacentral:rRNA from 1 species